CGCCAACAAAAACUGCCCACCGAAACCCUAUUGGCACAUAUCAUCACGCUCCCAAAACCUGGAAAACCCCCCACAUGCCCACAAAACUUCCGUCCCAUUUCCCUAUUAAACACUGAUGCAAAAUUAUACGCGAAGAUUUACGCACGACGUCUGGGAACGAUACUCCCGCACGUCAUCCACACGGACCAAGUGGGAUUUAUAAAAAACAGGCAAGGAGGGGACAACACUAGAAAAGUAC